rnacentral:rRNA from 1 species
GACGGAGGAUGCAAGUGUUAUCCGGAAUCACUGGGCGUAAAGCGUCUGUAGGUGGUCAAAUAAGUCAACUGUUAAAUCUUGAGGCUCAACCUCAAAAUCGCAGUCGAAACUAUUCGACUAAAGUAUAGUAGGGGUAAAGGGAAUUUCCAGUGGAGCGGUGAAAUGCGUAGAGAUUGGAAAGAACACCGAUGGCGAAGGCACUUUACUGGGCUAUUACUAACACUGAGAGACGAAAGCUAGGGUAGCAAAUGGG